rnacentral:rRNA from 1 species
GACGUAGGGCGCGAGCGUUGUCCGGAUUUAUUGGGCGUAAAGAGCUCGUAGGCGGUGUGUCGCGUCGGCCGUGAAAACCUGCAGCUUAACUGUGGGCGUGCGGUCGAUACGGGCAUCACUGGAGUUCGGCAGGGGAGACUGGAAUUCCUGGUGUAGCGGUGAAAUGCGCAGAUAUCGGGAGGAACACCCGUAGCGAAGGCGGCACUCUGGGCCGGUACUGACGCUGAGGAGCGAAAGCGUGGGGAGCAAACAGG